ensembl:piRNA 21ur-8239 ncRNA
UAUUUGCUUUUUAGACUAUGC